GUGCGAAUGCUGACAUAAGUAACGAUAAAGCGGGUGAAAAGCCCGCUCGCCGGAAGACCAAGGGUUCCUGUCCAACGUUAAUCGGGGCAGGGUGAGUCGACCCCUAAGGCGAGGCCGAAAGGCGUAGUCGAUGGGAAACAGGUUAAUAUUCCUGUACUUGGUGUUACUGCGAAGGGGGGACGGAGAAGGCUAUGUUGGCCGGGCGACGGUUGUCCCGGUUUAAGCGUGUAGGCUGGUUUUCCAGGCAAAUCCGGAAAAUCAAGGCUGAGGCGUGAUGACGAGGCACUACGGUGCUGAAGCAACAAAUGCCCUGCUUCCAGGAAAAGCCUCUAAGCAUCAGGUAACAUCAAAUCGUACCCCAAACCGACACAGGUGGUCAGGUAGAGAAUACCAAGGCGCUUGAGAGAACUCG
rnacentral:rRNA from 1 species